ACGAAAGGUCCAAGCGUUACUCGGAAUUACUGGGCGUAAAGCGCGCGUAGGCGGCCUUGUAUGUCGAUUGUGAAAGCCCCGGGCUCAACCUGGGAACUGCAGUCGAAACUGCAAGGCUUGAAUGUUGGAGAGGUUGGGGGAAUACCUAGUGGAGAAGUGAAAUUCGUAGAGAUUAGGUGGAACGCCAGAGGCGAAGGCGCCUGACUGGCCAAACAUUGACGCUGAGGCGCGAAAGCGUGGGUAGCAAACAGGA
rnacentral:rRNA from 1 species